rnacentral:rRNA from 1 species
CCUACGGGAGGCAGCAGUGGGGAAUUUUCCGCAAUGGGCGAAAGCCUGACGGAGCAACGCCGCGUGAGGGAUGAAGGCCUCUGGGCUGUAAACCUCUUUUAUCAAGGAAGAAGAUCUGACGGUACUUGAUGAAUAAGCCACGGCUAAUUCCGUGCCAGCAGCCGCGGUAAUACGGGAGUGGCAAGCGUUAUCCGGAAUUAUUGGGCGUAAAGCGUCCGCAGGCGGUCUUGUAAGUCUGUCGUUAAAGCGUGGAGCUCAACUCCAUUUCGGCGGUGGAAACUACAAGACUAGAGUGUGGUAGGGGCAGAGGGAAUUCCCGGUGUAGCGGUGAAAUGCGUAGAUAUCGGGAAGAACACCAGUGGCGAAGGCGCUCUGCUGGGCCAUAACUGACGCUCAUGGACGAAAGCUAGGGGAGCGAAAGGGAUUAGAUACCCCUGUAGUCCUAGCCGUAAACGAUGAACACUAGGUGUCGGGGGAAUCGACCCCCUCGGUGUCGUAGCUAACGCGUUAAGUGUUCCGCCUGGGGAGUACGCACGCAAGUGUGAACUUAAGGAAUUGACGG